CCUACGGGUGACAGCAGUCGAGAAUCAUUCACAAUGGGGGAAACCCUGAUGGUGCGACGCCGCGUGGGGGAAUGAAGGUCUUCGGAUUGUAAACCCCUGUCAUGUGGGAGCAAAUUAAAAAGAUAGUACCACAAGAGGAAGAGACGGCUAACUCUGUGCCAGCAGCCGCGGUAAUACGGAGGGCCCAAGCGUUGUUCGGAAUCACUGGGCGUAAAGCGUGCGUAGGCUGUUUCGUAAGUCGUGUGUGAAAGGCGGGGGCUCAACCCGCGAACGGCACAUGAUACUGCGAGACUAGAGUAAUGGAGGGGGAACCGGAAUUCUCGGUGUAGCAGUGAAAUGCGUAGAUAUCGAGAGGAACACUCGUGGCGAAGGCGGGUUCCUGGACAUUAACUGACGCUGAGGCACGAAGGCCAGGGGAGCGAAAGGGAUUAGAUACCCCUGUAGUC
rnacentral:rRNA from 1 species